rnacentral:rRNA from 1 species
GGCAUCGGGAUUGAAGCUUGCUUCAAUUGCCGGCGACCGGCGCACGGGUGCGUAACGCGUAUGUAACCUACCUAUAACAGGGGCAUAACACUGAGAAAUUGGUACUAAUUCCCCAUAAUAUUCGGAGAGGCAUCUCUCCGGGUUGAAAACUCCGGUGGUUAUAGAUGGACAUGCGUUGUAUUAGCUAGUUGGUGAGGUAACGGCUCACCAAGGCAACGAUACAUAGGGGGACUGAGAGGUUAACCCCCCACACUGGUACUGAGACACGGACCAGACUCCUACGGGAGGCAGCAGUGAGGAAUAUUGGUCAAUGGACGCAAGUCUGAACCAGCCAUGCCGCGUGCAGGAAGACGGCUCUAUGAGUUGUAAACUGCUUUUGUACGAGGGUAAACUCACCUACGUGUAGGUGACUGAAAGUAUCGUACGAAUAAGGAUCGGCUAACUCCGUGCCAGCAGCCGCGGUAAUACGGAGGAUUCAAGCGUUAUCCGGAUUUAUUGGGUUUAAAGGGUGCGUAGGCGGUUUGAUAAGUUAGAGGUGAAAUCCCGGGGCUUAACUCCGGAACUGCCUCUAAUACUGUUAGACUAGAGAGUAGCUGCGGUAGGCGGAAUGUAUGGUGUAGCGGUGAAAUGCUUAGAGAUCAUACAGA